rnacentral:rRNA from 1 species
GAUGAACGCUGGCGGCGUGCCUAAUACAUGCAAGUCGAGCGAACGGACGAGAAGCUUGCUUCUCUGAUGUUAGCGGCGGACGGGUGAGUAACACGUGGAUAACCUACCUAUAAGACUGGGUUAACUUCGGGAAACCGGAGCUAAUACCGGAUAAUAUUUUGAACCGCAUGGUUCAAAAGUGAAAGACGGUCUUGCUGUCACUUAUAGAUGUAUCCGCGCUGCAUUAGCUAGUUGGUAAGGUAACGGCUUACCAAGGCAACGAUGCAUAGCCGACCUGAGAGGGUGAUCGGCCACACUGGAACUGAGACACGGUCCAGACUCCUACGGGAGGCAGCAGUAGGGAAUCUUCCGCAAUGGGCGAAAGCCUGACGGAGCAACGCCGCGUGAGUGAUGAAGGUCUUCGGAUCGUAAAACUCUGUUAUUAGGGAAGAACAUAUGUGUAAGUAACUGUGCACAUCUUGACGGUACCUAAUCAGAAAGCCACGGCUAACUACGUG